GGCUUUAUAUUCAUAUAUAAUGAUAUUAGACUGCAAUUCUAAAGGAGUAUUUUAAUACUAAGGCUU
rnacentral:tRNA from 1 species